UUUUCACUUGUGAUAGCAAAGGUUCAAAGAUAAAAUUGAUUAUAUAGGGCCAGAAGUUUCAUGCAACGAUUACUACACUGAAAGAUCGACCUGUUGCUUACACUCUCAAAAAGUGGAGACCAUACUUACUUGAUCAACAGGUUGUGAUGCGUUGCAGAUAGUCUAUGGCUAAAGUGCUGAAAGAGAAGCUCCCCGAGAUUGAUGCUGCUCAGCCUCGAGGACAAGGCUGAUUUGAAGAGGGAGGAACUGUUAGGAACCUUUUUC
rnacentral:lncRNA from 1 species